AAGCCGGGCAGAAGCAAUAAAUGACCGAUGUAGAGGAGGAAUUAACUGUGGUGGUUGCUUUUUCCCUUUUGGCUUCACAGUACCGACUCUUCUCGAGAAGGUGGGGCCACGCCGCGGGAGGAUGAUGGGGAGGUGCCUCCAAAGUCCCGGGGAACUAACCCAGGCCGUGGAAUCCACAGAGGCCGAGGGGAGAGGUCGGCAGCUGCAGGCCCGGACUGCACCUAAUCUUAGUUGGACUCACAGCCUAUGCAGAAGGAAACCGAGGCCCUGGGAGGAGCAGUCACUUGCCUAAGGUGGCACUAGAGUCCUAGCCUCCGCCCUCCGUCUCCUGCUGUUUAGCGCUCCCCACUAAAGCCUCAGACCCUGGAGCGCCUUCUGCAUCCGCUCUAACAGGGAUGCUGCCGGCAACUAGAGUUACUCUGCGGGAAGCGUGCUGGCUAGCUGCUCUUUCAGCUUGAAAAUGAUGUACAGGAAAAGAGGAGGAAAAGCAGCCUGGGGACCCAGUCGGAAACAGAGCCGCCUUGAGAGAGGCCGUUCCCUUAUCUGGUUGUGCCAGAUCUACACCACCACCCCGUUACGGGAGAGCUGUGUGUACACAUGGCCAUAGGCUUCCUCCACCUCCGGUGCCUCCUGCCGCCUUCCCCGGAAGUCUUCAUCUGGAAAACAGAGGGAAGCUGCCUCCUCCUCCUCCCUGCAGGGCCCCAGUCAGGCAGUCCCCAG